rnacentral:tRNA from 1 species
CCGCCGAUAGCUCAGUUGGCAGAGCGGUGGACUGUAGAUCCCAUAGGUCGCUGGUUCGACUCCGGCUCGACGGA